UACGUAGGGUGCAAGCGUUAAUCGGAAUUACUGGGCGUAAAGCGUGCGCAGGCGGUGAUGUAAGACAGGUGUGAAAUCCCCAGGCUUAACCUGGGAACUGCAUUUGUGACUGCAUCGCCGGAGUGCGGCAGAGGGGGAUGGAAUUCCGCGUGUAGCAGUGAAAUGCGUAGAUAUGCGGAGGAACACCGAUGGCGAAGGCAAUCCCCUGGGCCUGCACUGACGCUCAUGCACGAAAGCGUGGGGAGCAAACAGG
rnacentral:rRNA from 1 species